rnacentral:rRNA from 1 species
UGGGGAAUCUUGCGCAAUGGCCUAACGGCUGACGCAGCGACGCCGCGUGUGGGACGACGCCCUUCGGGGUGUAAACCACUGUUGCCCGGGACGAACAUCCUCUUGCGAGAGGACUGACGGUACCGGGUGAGGAAGCACCGGCUAACUCCGUGCCAGCAGCCGCGGUAAUACGGAGGGUGCGAGCGUUGUCCGGAAUCACUGGGCGUAAAGGGCGCGUAGGCGGCCGAGCAAGGUCGUGGUGAAAGCCCGGGGCUCAACCCCGGGUCGGCCAGGGCAACUACUCGGCUGGAGCACGGUAGAGGCGGGUGGAAUUCCGGGUGUAGCGGUGGAAUGCGUAGAGAUCCGGAAGAACACCGGUGGCGAAGGCGGCCCGCUGGGCCGUGGCUGACGCUGAGGCGCGACAGCGUGGGGAGCAAACAG